GAAACAAGUGACUUUCCAUCCAGUGUGUCGAAAUCCAAACCCCSCUGCAUGUCUGACAGCACAGUGAAAGGUAAGGGGAUACCCACAGGAUGCAGACAUAGGACUGUAGGCCAGGAAAGAGCUGGGGCUGCUUUGUUGUUGGAGAGAUGGCCUGGGAAAAGGAGCUCAGCAGCUUUUAUUUCGCGCACCCGGGCUUUCACCGUCGCGGCGUCGAGCAGAAAGAUGAGUCUGCCCGUGAUGUUUACCCACCUUGGGCCCGUGUUUGCCUAAUAUAUAUGAAAGGGAUCCUGUUAUCAUCUGGCGGGCAUUCCGGAGGAAACACUUUGGGAGCCGCAGCCAGGCAGGGAGCGGGGGAUGCUGCCUCCCUCCUUCCCUCUGUCGCUCCGUCCCCCCGCGCAGCGCGGCCGGGCUCUGCCGUCCCUCCAGCACCAUCUAGCGGGAUAYCCGGGCUGCCGGGGCUGCCGAGCAGGGGAACGCUCCGGUGCUCUCACCAGCGAGCCUGCUACGUCUCGCCUUGCGCUUGUAAUUUUCCCAGGCUGGGUUGGUACCUGAUGCUCUUGCCAUGGGCACCGCUGGACACCGGGGCUCACCGGUGCUCCCGCUCGGCUUUUGCCGCUGYUCUGCCCGAGCUGGGAAAACCGC